CCUACGGGAGGCAGCAGUAGGGAAUCUUCCACAAUGGGCGAAAGCCUGAUGGAGCAACGCCGCGUGGGUGAAGAAGGUCUUCGGAUCGUAAAACCCUGUUGUUAGAGAAGAAAGUGCGUGAGAGUAACUGUUCACGUUUCGACGGUAUCUAACCAGAAAGCCACGGCUAACUACGUGCCAGCAGCCGCGGUAAUACGUAGGUGGCAAGCGUUAUCCGGAUUGAUUGGGCGUAAAGGGAACGCAGGCGGUCUUUUAAGUCUGAUGUGAAAGCCUUCGGCUUAACCGGAGUAGUGCUUUGGAAACUGGGAGACUUGAGUGCAGAAGAGGAGAGUGGAACUCCAUGUGUAGCGGUGAAAUGCGUAGAUAUAUGGAAGAACACCAGUGGCGAAAGCGGCUCUCUGGUCUGUAACUGACGCUGAGGUUCGAAAGCGUGGGUAGCAAACAGGAUUAGAUACCCCAGUAGUC
rnacentral:rRNA from 1 species